GCUUGCUCCUUGGCGGCGAGUGGCGGACGGGUGAGUAAUACGUACGAAUCUGCCCAGUAGUGGGAGACAACCCGGGGAAACCCGGGCUAAUACCGCAUACGCCCUACGGGGGAAAGCGGGGGACUUUCGGGCCUCGCGCUAUUGGAUGAGCCUACGUCGGAUUAGCUUGUUGGUGGGGUAAAAGCCUACCAAGGCGACGAUCCGUAGCUGGUCUGAGAGGAUGAUCAGCCACACUGGGACUGAGACACGGCCCAGACUCCUACGGGAGGCAGCAGUGGGGAAUAUUGGACAAUGGGCGCAAGCCUGAUCCAGCAAUGCCGCGUGUGUGAAGAAGGCCUUCGGGUUGUAAAGCACUUUCAGCAGGGAAGAAAAGUCGAGCGUUAAUACCGCUCGGCCUUGACGUUACCUACAGAAGAAGCACCGGCUAACUCUGUGCCAGCAGCCGCGGUAAUACAGAGGGUGCGAGCGUNAAUCGGAAUUACUGGGCGUAAAGGGCGCGUAGGCGGUUUUGUAAGUCGGAUGUGAAAGCCCCGGGCUUAACCUGCGAACUGCAUUCGAUACUGCAAGACU
rnacentral:rRNA from 1 species